rnacentral:rRNA from 1 species
CCAGACUCCUACGGGAGGCAGCAGUGGGGAAUAUUGCACAAUGGGGGAAACCCUGAUGCAGCGACGCCGCGUGAGCGAUGAAGUAUUUCGGUAUGUAAAGCUCUAUCAGCAGGGAAGAAAAUGACGGUACCUGAAGAAGAAGCCCCGGCUAACUACGUGCCAGCAGCCGCGGUAAUACGUAGGGGGCAAGCGUUAUCCGGAUUCACUGGGUGUAAAGGGAGCGUAGACGGCCAUGCAAGCCUGGAGUGAAAGCCCGGGGCCCAACCCCGGGACUGCUCUGGGAACUGUGCGGCUGGAGUGCGGGAGGGGCAGGCGGAAUUCCUGGUGUAGCGGUGAAAUGCGUAGAUAUCAGGAGGAACACCGGCGGCGAAGGCGGCCUGCUGGACCGCGACUGACGUUGAGGCUCGAAAGCGUGGGGAGCAAACAGGAUUAGAUACCCUUGUA